UACGUAGGGGGCUAGCGUUGUCCGGAUUUAUUGGGCGUAAAGAGCGUGUAGGCGGCCAGGUAGGUCUGCCGUGAAAGCCCGGGGCUCAACCCCGGGUCUGCGGUGGGUACGGGCAGACUGGAGUGCAGUAGGGGAGACCGGAAUUCCUGGUGUAGCGGUGAAAUGCGCAGAUAUCAGGAGGAACACCGAUGGCGAAGGCAGGUCUCUGGGCUGUAACUGACGCUGAGGAGCGAAAGCAUGGGGAGCGAACAGG
rnacentral:rRNA from 1 species